rnacentral:rRNA from 1 species
GACGAACGCUGGCGGCGUGCUUAACACAUGCAAGUCGAACGGAAAGGCCCUGCUUUUGUGGGGUGCUCGAGUGGCGAACGGGUGAGUAACACGUGAGUAACCUGCCCUUGACUUUGGGAUAACUUCAGGAAACUGGGGCUAAUACCGGAUAGGAGCUCCUGCUGCAUGGUGGGGGUUGGAAAGUUUCGGCGGUUGGGGAUGGACUCGCGGCUUAUCAGCUUGUUGGUGGGGUAGUGGCUUACCAAGGCUUUGACGGGUAGCCGGCCUGGGAGGGUGACCGGCCACAUUGGGACUGAGGGACGGCCCAGACGCCAACGGGAGGCAGCAGUGGGGAAUAUUGCACAAUGGGCGGAAGCCUGAUGCAGCAACGCCGCGUGCGGGAUGACGGCCUUCGGGUUGUAAACCGCUUUCGCCUGUGACGAAGCGUGAGUGACGGUAAUGGGUAAAGAAGCACCGGCUAACUACGUG